rnacentral:rRNA from 1 species
AUUGAACGCUGGCGGUAUGCUUAACACAUGCAAGUCGAACGAGUGGCGGACGGGUGAGUAAUGCAUAGGAAUCUACCUUUUAGUCUAGGAAAACUACCCGAAAGGGUGGCUAAUACUGGAUGCUAAGAGAUGAGCCUAUGUGGGAUUAGCUAUUUGGUGGGGUAAUGGCUCACCAAGGCGACGACCUCUAGCUGGUUUGAGAGGAUGAUCCGCCAGACUGGGACUGAGACAAGCCCCAGCGUCCUACGGGAGGCAGGAGUGAGGAAUAUUGGACAACUGGCGAAAGCCUGAUCCAGCAAUACCGCGUGGGUGAAGAAGGCCCUAGGGUUGUAAAGUAUCUUUGUUAGGGAGAUGUUACCUAAAGAAUAAGCACCGGCUAACUCCGUGCCAGCAGCCGCGGUAAUUC